rnacentral:lncRNA from 1 species
UGUGUUAUCACUCCAUCAUUAUGAUCUAGAGUUGUUUUAAAAUAGUUUUCUAAGAAAAAUGUUGUAGAAACAAAGGGGAACUUACUUAGGUUCAUAAAUAUGAGAAAUGGGGUAGUUUGAGAACCACUGAUCUAUACCACUAUUUUGAGAGGAAAGGGACGUACAUACAUGUCUUGCCUGAGGCGUGUUGGUAAGGCAGUGGGUGUGGUUUUAAAUUCUGUUUUACAUAAAUGGUAGAGGCGGAGCCUUUAAACCAAAUUGAAACUGAUCAGAGGGAUAAAGGUGAAAAGGAAGAACAACCUCCAACACAGUAGACGGUUCAUCAUCACUGAAAGCCUCUAAAGAAGAUAAAAUGGCCUCCAACCUUGAACUCAAUGAUCUGCUCGUCUCUCUGAAGGACAAGCUGACCUGCUCCAUCUGUACACAGCUGUUCACAUGUGGCCACUUUUUCUGCAAGACAUGCUUCGUUAACCAAUCUGGCAACCAGUGUCCAGAGUGCCAGACCCCCGUGGAGAGAGUGCCCGAGGUGAACGUUGUCCUGUGUGAGAUGAUCAGGUUCUUCCAGAGGCUGCAGUGCCACGAGCUGGUGACCCCCGUGACAGACUUGGAUCAGAGAGCCUGUCAGAAACAUGGCCAUCCUUUGGUGUUCUACAACACUAACCAGCAGGUCUGUAUGUGUGUCCGCUGUGUGAGCAUCUCUGAGGACAUCGUCUUCAUCGAGGAGGAAGCAAAGAAGAAAAAGACCCAAAUAAAUGAAGUGUUGGCCAACUGGAAAAAUGAAAUCACCCACCGAGAAAAUAAAAGGAGGAGCUGAAUGGUGAGAUCCAAGAAA